rnacentral:lncRNA from 1 species
ACCUAAAUCCAUUUGUGAAAAUUCUUAAGCCUCCGUUGAUGAUGGUUUGAAAGUGUUUGGCUCCUUGUUCCUUAAUCCUAACUUCAAGAUUGUCUUGAAGUUAUCCAAGAGUUUCACAAGAGUGUUUCACAAGAAUUUCUUCCAAACAACAAUAACCAAAUUGGAGUAUAGUUUUCCAUAAAAAUAUGCAAGACAAGAAAAA